CCUACGGGAGGCAGCAGUGAGGAAUAUUGGUCAAUGGGCGGGAGCCUGAACCAGCCAAGCCGCGUGAAGGAAGAAGGCGCCAGGCGUCGUAAACUUCUUUUGUCGGGGAACAAAGGGCGCCACGCGUGGCGUUGUGAGUGUACCCGAAGAAAAAGCAUCGGCUAACUCCGUGCCAGCAGCCGCGGUAAUACGGAGGAUGCGAGCGUUAUCCGGAUUUAUUGGGUUUAAAGGGUGCGUAGGCGGUCCGGAAAGUCAGCGGGAAAAGCCCGGGGCUCAACCCCGGCGAGCCGUUGAAACUGUCGGACUAGAGACGGCGAGAAGUACGCGGAAUGCGCGGUGUAGCGGUGAAAUGCAUAGAUAUCGCGCAGAACUCCGAGUGCGAAGGCAGCGUACCGGCGCCGGACUGACGCUGAGGCACGAAAGCGUGGGUAUCGAACAGGAUUAGAUACCCUAGUAGUC
rnacentral:rRNA from 1 species